AGCAGUUUAAAGCAAUGAAUGUUUAUCUCACAGGUUUUGUGGGUUAGGAAUUCAGGAGCAAUUUAGCUGGGUGCUUCUGGCUUGGUGUCUUUCGAAUCAUGCUGUGGGCCAGGGCAGAAGUCAGUGAAACGUGACUGGGGCUGGAGGUUCCUCUUCCAGGCUCAUUCAUGCAGCUGUCGUCCAGAAACUGCCGUGGCACCAUCUCCUUCAGGCUUCGCACAGCAUGGCUUCCCUCACUGUUCUAAUCUCCGAAAUGGCACGCUUUCACUUCGUCUCUCUUCUCUUUGUAAGGAGCCAGUCACUUAAGUCCAGCCCAUGCUCAGGAGGAAGGAAGGCUGGGACUUCAUGUGAUAUGGUACCACUGGGGCUUAAGAAAUGCAAGAGAUAUCUGAAUAAAUAGACGUGUUCCAGUUUGGGCAUGUUAAGCUGCAUUUCCAGCAACCCAUUUGGAUUAAAGAACCUCGAAACGCCCAUGUUGGGAUCUCUAUGUGACAGCAUUGAGAGUGUCAUCUGAAGGCAGCAGGAAGUCUGACAGUCACUAAACUUGUUUUAGAAGCUAGAAAUUCUACCAUUUGUGAAGAUGAAGGCAGUUUGAACCUUUCUGGAUGAAUGCUGCAGUUUGUUUUUGGAACUGAACCUCUGACCUUCCUGAAGGACUGUCUCUUUGGUGAGCCCCUUUCAGUCAUGCAGAUGUAGGGCAAUAAUAACCCCUCAUUUUCCUGGGGGAAGCCCCACAUGCAGCAGAGAGCUCAACGGAAGUGCUGUAGACUGAGGUUGGAAGUGCUUUGUUCUCAGAAGGCAGCCGGCAGUAUGUCUUGUCCCCAAAGAGGCAGAGACCUAUUUUAUUUCAUUUUACCUUGCUCUUAAACCUCUUGAUGUGGCCUGCUCAUGCCUGUUCUUAGAAAACACAGUCUUCUCACUCUAACAUCUGCUCACAGAGGAAGGACAGCUCCAGCCAGAACAGGGGCAGGGACACAGGCAUCAAUGCCUCUCCUUCUGGUGAAGCAAAGUGGGGAAGAGGACUGGGAUCAGGCUUGGACAGGGCGCAUGGGACCCUUGGUGCAUCUCAUGCUGUCCUUUCAUCUAGUAACGUGUGUGCUUAGUCGCAGUCGUGUCCAGCUCUUUCUGACCCCAUGGGCUGUAGCCUGCCAGGCUACUCUGUCCAUGGUAUUCUCCAGGCAAGAGUACUAGAGUGGGUUGCCAUUCCCUUCUCUGGGGGAUCUUUCUGACCCAGGAGUUGAAUCUGGGUCUCCUGCAAUGGGGGCAGAUUCUUUACCAUCUGAGCCACCAGGGAAGCCCAGUAAAAGGCUGCCAAAUAUACCUCUUAUGACUAUCCUGACUUUCUUUUCCAGGGUACACUUAGAGGCUUCCUCCUGAAGAAAUAGUCAACCUGAGGAUUAAGUCUAGAGGAGGAAAGACACUGGUGUUAGGCUGCCAGCGUGUUCUGAUAUUUGACACCUUAAAAGACAACACCCCACGCCACCUCUGGACACAUAAUUAGCCUUUGUUCUGUGGCCUUGUCUUAAGCUACCAUCCCAUCUCUCUUUUUCCUGUGUUUGUUCUUAGCAAGCCUUGAAAUACUCUUCUGGAACUGCUGUCUCCACUUCAUCAUCUAAUUCACUCUUGGACCCACUCCAGUCAGAGCUUCUCUCUUAACCACUCCAUGGAAACUGUCUCUGUAUCCAUAUGUUGAUGUGAUUAGUUAUAUUAAUACAUUCCCUAAUAUGGUGUCAUUCUGGCACUGACAGCAGUUUUCACUCUUUAAACUCAGUGCUGGAUUUGGUUUGCUAACGUUUCAUUUACAACUUUGGUUAGUAUC
ensembl:lncRNA